rnacentral:rRNA from 1 species
AGAGUUUGAUCAUGGCUCAGGAUGAACGCUAGCGGCAGGCUUAACACAUGCAAGUCGAGGGGUAACAGGGGUAGCAAUACCUGCUGACGACCGGCAAACGGGUGCGGAACACGUACGCAAUCUACCCUUAUCUUGAGGAUAGCCCACUGAAAAGUGGAUUAAUACUCGAUAGUAUGAAUGAGUGGCAUCACUUAAUUAUUAAAGAAUUUCGGAUAGGGAUGAGCGUGCGUAAGAUUAGCUAGUUGGCGGGGUAACGGCCCACCAAGGCAACGAUCUUUAGCUGAUGUGAGAGGAUGAUCAGCCACACUGGGACUGAGACACGGUCCAGACUCCUACGGGAGGCAGCAGUGGGGAAUAUUGGACAAUGGGCGCAAGCCUGAUCCAGCCAUGCCGCGUGGGUGAAGAAGGCCUUCGGGUUGUAAAGCCCUUUUGUUGGGAAAGAAAUCCUGUCGAUUAAUACUCGGCGGGGAUGACGGUACCCAAAGAAUAAGCACCGGCUAACUUCGUGCCAGCCGCCGCGGUAAUAC